GGCCUGGUAGCGGAUGGUCCGCGCCUGCUUUCAAUACUUGAUUUUCGGUAUGGCGUGCAGGAGUCGCUCGUUCGAAUCGAGCCCGGGUCG